AGUGAACGCUGGCGGUAGGCCUAACACAUGCAAGUCGAACGGCAGCACAGUAAGAGCUUGCUCUUACGGGUGGCGAGUGGCGGACGGGUGAGGAAUACAUCGGAAUCUACUUUUUCGUGGGGGAUAACGUAGGGAAACUUACGCUAAUACCGCAUACGACCUACGGGUGAAAGCAGGGGAUCUUCGGACCUUGCGCGAUUGAAUGAGCCGAUGUCGGAUUAGCUAGUUGGCGGGGUAAAGGCCCACCAAGGCGACGAUCCGUAGCUGGUCUGAGAGGAUGGUCAGCCACAAUGGAACUGAGACACGGUCCAGACUCCUACGGGAGGCAGCAGUGGGGAAUAUUGGACAAUGGGCGCAAGCAUGAUCCAGCAAUACCGCGUGGGUGAAGAAGGCCUUCGGGUUGAAAAGCCCUUUUGUUGGGAAAGAAAAGCAGCAGGUUAAUACCCCGCUGUUCUGACGGUACCCAAAGAAUAAGCACCGGCUAACUUCGUG
rnacentral:rRNA from 1 species